rnacentral:tRNA from 4 species
GCCCUUGUAGCGCAACGGAUAGCGCACCGGUUUCCGGGACCGGCGGUUGCAGGUUCGAGUCCUGCCAAGGGCG